UGAAGACUGCCCGUAUGGGGCCUAUUGUACUCUUCCAAUCCCCGGAAUGUCCUGCUUUCCGUGGCCGCUCUCACCUCAUCUCCGGCGCGUUGAUCAUUUUCCUCAUGUCGGCGGCGAAGGAGCCAAAGCUUCCCCGCAGAUAAGCGGAGUGGAAAGGGUUAGACAUGGUUCUGAACCACGGCGGGUCACAGGAGGAACUAACUGGGGGCGCCUUUAGUCUGAGAAGAAAACCAGCAUUCAAUGACUCUGAGGACAACAACUUCUACCUCUGACAAAGAGUCAUUUUUAAAGGCUUAAAGGGAGCUGAUAAC